AUUGAACGCUGGCGGCAUGCUUUACACAUGCAAGUCGAACGGUAACAGGCCGCAAGGUGCUGACGAGUGGCGAACGGGUGAGUAAUGCAUCGGAACGUGCCCAGUCGUGGGGGAUAGCGCAGCGAAAGCUGUGCUAAUACCGCAUACGAUCUAUGGAUGAAAGCGGGGGACCGUAAGGCCUCGCGCGAUUGGAGCGGCCGAUGUCAGAUUAGGUAGUUGGUGGGGUAAAGGCUCACCAAGCCAACGAUCUGGAGCUGGUCUGAGAGGACGACCAGCCACACUGGGACUGAGACACGGCCCAGACUCCUACGGGAGGCAGCAGUGGGGAAUUUUGGACAAUGGGCGCAAGCCUGAUCCAGCAAUGCCGCGUGCAGGAAGAAGGCCUUCGAGUUGUAAGCCGCUUUUGUCAGGGAAGAAAUCUUCUGGGUUAAUACCUCGGGAGGAUGACGGUACCUGAAGAAUAAGCGCCGGCUAACUACGUGCCAGCAGCCGCAGUAA
rnacentral:rRNA from 1 species